GGAAUAUUUUCUGUUCUUUCUUAUUAAGUGAUUGUUAUGGCACAACUUGUCAACUAUUGUAAUUAAUUCCUGACAAUCACAUCCAACCUCCUCACAAGUACUGUUGUUUUUCAGAUAUCAAGACACAUAGGGCUCAGAAUGGACGCUCUAAACAAGUAUUAACUUUUUCUUUUUCAAUAACUCAUGCGAUAGGGAUCAAGACUUUCGUGUCCGCAUAAAAUCAGAAAUAUCAAUCCCACAAGCAAUAAUUUUGACGGUUUGAUCUAAAAUCUGUAUCUUCGCAAACAAUUUUUUCCCCUCUCGCUCAAGGAUAAGGCACCUGGAGAUGGGCCUUCUUGAAACUCUGUUUUUGGGCUUUGGAUAAACGGCAGCAUGACGUCUCGAACCUGUCACUCGAGUGGUUUAGCAGCGACGUCUAUAAUAGAAUUAGAAACGGAAAACGGUGUCGUUGUACCAACAUGUACCAACGGAGAUGAAUAAAAAUAGAAGCAUGAGGCUUGGGCUGAUCCCCACCAUGCUUUUUGAUAGAAGCCCAUGUUGGCAAACGCUAAGGCCAUAACCCAUACUUGUUUGUGUUCGUAGUCAGAGACUCGCAGCAACAUAUCACUUGCCUGUUAGAGCUAAGUUUCCAAUCUCCACUUUUUCAAUCACUCAAUUCAAGAAAAAAAAAAUAUAUGUAAAUUUACAAUUCUGUGUUUUUUUAUUAUUUUGAUCACACACAUAUUCCAUUCUUAUUAUUGGCAAGAAAUCAUGGAGUAAACUGAACCAUACGGUUAUCUUAGAGGAGGAAGCAAGCUUCCAAGUUUUUUUUCCCCGCUCUUUUGGGUCUUGAACAUGAAGACUCAAGUAGCUUUCAUUAUCUGAUUAAUGAAUUGCUGGCGAUGGCCCUCCUCAACACACCAAGUCAUCAAACGGAUACCUUUCUUAGGCAGUGGCAACGAUCCUAUAAUACCUACAGGUAUGAUGCUAGAGCCCUGUAUUGGAACAAUAUGCACUGGAGGACCCCACCCGUAAUCCACCUGAUUGAAUCCCAAUCUACCCCAUUCUGAUAUGAACAACGUGCUGUAGAUUAGGGGCGGUGUAAAUGGAUCCUCGCCAUCAUUCAAAUACUCCCCCUUCAGAUACUUGCCAAAUUCUAUUGGUAGCUUAGCCUUUGAUUCUUGUAUGAGUUUUAUCACUUCAAUGUUUGAUGCUUGUGCCAGUGACUCAGUUGGAACUGUGAUCGUCACUGGGAAGAAACAGUUCCCAUAGAAUCCUUUAGGCAAAGCAAGGUCUAAGACUUGGCGGCAAUUCGCGAAGAAAACAAGCUUCAUAUUUGUGUUCUGCUUCAGGUUUAUUGCAAUUGUUCGGUUUCUCCAGAAUGUGGCAGCUAUAACUUCGAACGUGGAGCAAGUUUUCCCUGUUGACUUUUGAAAUUCAUUCUUGAGCUGAGCAAUUUUAUCCAAUGAAAUGUCUAUAUUGGCAUGCUCUAACCUAUAAUUCGGCAUUGGUGGUGGCAGUGCUGGCAGUGCUGUGGCAUUCGCUUGUUGUGGUGGUGCUGGAGAAAAAUCCCUACACCAAACUGGUGAAAUGCUAAGCUGCUCAACACCUCUAGCUAGCUCCCCAACUGCGUUUAAGAAUUGUGCAGCUCCAAGGCCAUCGCAUAUACUGUGGCAGAAUAUAAGUCCAAUAACAAAACCUCCACAUGCAAAUUGUGUAACCUGCAUUUGGACAAGUGGCUCGAUGCCUUUGUCAUUUUCAGGAACAUAAUCAGGAAGGAGCUCAUCAUAGGGGAUUGUUGUGACAUUAUCAAAAUAAUUGACAGAUUCAAGAUUAUUAGUAGCAGAUGCCUCAACAAACCAUACACCUUGUCCUGAGCAUUCAAUUUGAAGCUGACCCUGGCUGGACUCCUUGGGACGCCCUGCAAGAGGGUAGUAGGGAACCAACGCCUUGGACAAGGCUUCCCUUAUAACUCUUGCUGCUUCAGGGCCAUUUCUGAAAACAUGCAGCGUCCGAGCAUUGCAUCUCAGGACAGGCAACCUAUCAAUGACAGAGAGAUCAAGGGUGCCUGAUGGUGUCUGCUCAAAUGGCCUAACUAGGCAUCGACUUGUUCUGAUUAUGGACAAAGCCAUGAAUGGAUAAGAAGGUUGAUGAAUAAGAGAUAUUAAGCACCAUAGCCAGAAUUACCUUUUAUAUACAACAUAGAUGUAGAAAGGAUGUUAAUUUAUUAAAAUUCAAAUUGAUGAUAUGCUUGGCCUUAAAGUCUACUUUUCAUUUGGUAGCAAGAGAAGAUAGCUUUGGCAAGUGGAAUUGCUUAUAUUAUAUAUGUCAGAUGCUUAAAAAUUUAUAUGUCGUUAACUUUAGGGAUAUGUGAUGACUUUACAAAGAAAACUUUAUCGUAUAUACAUACCCAGAUGAAGUCAGCAGCUACUUUUCAUUUGAUUCUUUUGCUUUUAAGUUCAUUCCCAACCAGUACUUCAAAUGUAGAGUGCGCAAUUUGGCCCUGUUUGCUUAUGAAAUUCUUUCUCGAGCUAUCUUUGUGAGUGCAGAUGUCUGCUCUGCAAUUGGGCAUCGAUGGCGGAAACACAUACGCCAAAAUGGCGAAAUUCUAAGAUGCUAAAGACUUCUAAUUAGCUCCCCAACAGAUUCUGCAGUUCCUGGAAGUGGCCAUGACAUAUGCU
rnacentral:misc_RNA from 1 species